rnacentral:rRNA from 1 species
CCUGACGGUAGUCGUAUGCUCGUCUCCGAGACUAAGCCAUGCAAGUCCAAGUACACGUCCUUGAACGACGGAAACUGCGAACGGCUCAAUUAAAUCAGUUGCGAUCUACUCGGCGUUCCGCGCCGCCGGAUAACCGUAGUAAUUCUAGGGCUAAUACGUGCGAAGCGCCCGAAGCCGCGAGGCGACGGGCGUUCUCGCCGGAUGUAGGAACCGACCCGGGGACCGCCGGGGCAACCCGGCGCCCCCGAGACGGGGCGAACCACGGUGAAAUGACGGAUCGUCGGCCCCGCGCCGGCGACUCGCCGAAUGAGUUUCUGACCUAUCAACUCGAGACGGCGGGGUAGAGGCCCGCCGCGGUAACGACGGGUAACGGGGAAUCAGGGUUCGAUUCCGGAGAGGG